UACGUACCGUCCAAACGUUAUUCGGAAUUACUGGGCUUAAAGGGUAUGUAGGCGGCGCUGUUAGUCGGGUGUGAAAUCCCAGGGCUCAACCCUGGAACUGCGCCCGAUACUGCAGUGCUUGAGGGAGACAGAGGUAAGCGGAACUGAUGGUGGAGCGGUGAAAUGCGUUGAUAUCAUCAGGAACACCAGUGGCGAAGGCGGCUCACUGGUCCAUUACUGACGCUGAGGUGCGAAAGCGUGGGGAGCAAACAGG
rnacentral:rRNA from 1 species